rnacentral:rRNA from 1 species
UACGGGGGGAGCAAGCGUUGUUCGGAUUUACUGGGCGUAAAGGGCGCGUAGGCGGUUCCGUAAGUCGGGUGUGAAAAAUCUGGGCUCAACCCAGUGGAGCACCCGAUACUGCGGUGACUGGAGUCCGGUAGGGGAGUGUGGAAUUCCUGGUGUAGCGGUGAAAUGCGCAGAUAUCAGGAGGAACACCAAUGGCGAAAGCAGCUCUCUGGGACGGUACUGACGCUGAGACGCGAAAGCGUGGGGAGCGAACAGG